rnacentral:lncRNA from 1 species
UUCCCUACUAUUUCAGCAUGUAACGCUAAACAUUAGCCUCCGAAAACAUUAAUCACUAAUAUAAAACUCUAAAGUGGAGUUUUUCGGUAUUCUCGAUAUUUUAAUGAAGUGGUCAGGACGGAUGAUUUAAUCUUCUUCUUUUGGACUAGUAACCGGUCCAUCACACCCUUUAUAAAUUUAAAAUAUUUUGGAUUUGAAUUCAAA